CUGUGUGUGUCUGUGGAUGGUGGCCUGAUCCACAUUGCGAAAGUGGGGAAAGUGAACAGAGUGCUUACUCAUUGGUAAAUACGGACAUCAGGAACUGAAGCGGUAGCCCAGAUAGGAAGAUGUUUUGAGAAUCAUGUUAGCUCAGGGAAAAGGGAUGAGAUAUUUGUAAAAUUUUAUUUCUAGCAAAGUCAGCAACAUCAGCUACUUCCAGCAUUCAAAUUGUUGGGAGUGGAAUCAAGGCAAAAUUCUCACUUACAUGCUGGGUUUGCACAGGACUAGUCUCUUCUGAUAGCCAUGUUGAGUUCCUGGUGAGAAGAGAGGAAGAUAGGUAACAGUCUAUUAAAAGUUAGCAACACUUAGAACAGACUUUUAUUGCAUUUUUUUAGAAAGUGUAUGUUACUUUUAAAGAAAUAGAUUCAAGAAUAUUCUUCUC
rnacentral:lncRNA from 1 species